UACGUAGGUGACAAGCGUUGUCCGGAUUUACUGGGCGUAAAGAGCGCGCAGGCGGUCGAUCAAGUCGAGUGUGAAAGCCCCCGGCUCAACUGGGGAGGGUCAUUCGAUACUGAUCGACUCGAAGGCAGGAGAGGGUAGUGGAAUUCCCGGUGUAGUGGUGAAAUGCGUUGAUAUCGGAAGGAACGCCGGUGGCGAAAGCGACGGACUGGACCUCUUCUGACGCUGAGGCGCGAAAGCCAGGGGAGCAAACGGG
rnacentral:rRNA from 1 species